rnacentral:rRNA from 1 species
UACGAAGGGGGCUAGCGUUGCUCGGAAUCACUGGGCGUAAAGCGCACGUAGGCGGAUUGUUAAGUCAGGGGUGAAAUCCUGGAGCUCAACUCCAGAACUGCCUUUGAUACUGGCGAUCUCGAGUCCGGGAGAGGUGAGUGGAACUGCGAGUGUAGAGGUGAAAUUCGUAGAUAUUCGCAAGAACACCAGUGGCGAAGGCGGCUCACUGGCCCGGUACUGACGCUGAGGAGCGAAAGCAUGGGGAGCGAACAGG